rnacentral:rRNA from 1 species
UGAAGAUAACGUCUUCUCGCAACAAUCAGCUUGGGAAAGGUGGUUAUGGUGUGGUUUUCAAAGGAAGACUACAUGAUGGUCGUCUGGUGGCUGUGAAAUUCUUGCAUGACUGCAAAGGAAAUGGGGACGAGUUUGUGAAUGAGGUCAUGAGCAUUGGCAGGACCUCUCAUGUUAAUGUUGUUAGUUUAUUUGGGUUUUGUUUGGAGGGAUCAAAACGAGCUCUUAUAUAUGAGUACAUGCCCAACGGUUCCUUGGAUCAGUACAUUUAUUCAGAGCACCCCAAAGAAAUUUUAGGAUGGGAGAGGCUUUAUGCGAUAGCAAUCGGGAUUGCUCGUGGCCUCGAAUACUUGCACCAUAGCUGUAAUACACGUAUUGUCCAUUUCGAUAUCAAGCCC